rnacentral:rRNA from 1 species
GUGGGGAAUAUUGCACAAUGGGCGGAAGCCUGAUGCAGCGACGCCGCGUGAGGGAUGACGGCCUUCGGGUUGUAAACCUCUUUCAGCAGGGACGAAGCGGAAGUGACGGUACCUGCAGAAGAAGCGCCGGCCAACUACGUGCCAGCAGCCGCGGUAAGACGUAGGGCGCGAGCGUUGUCCGGAUUUAUUGGGCGUAAAGAGCUCGUAGGCGGCUUGUCGCGUCGUCCGUGAAAACUUGGGGCUCAACUCCAAGCUUGCGGUCGAUACGGGCAGGCUCGAGUUCGGUAGGGGAGACUGGAAUUCCUGGUGUAGCGGUGAAAUGCGCAGAUAUCAGGAGGAACACCGGUGGCGAAGGCGGGUCUCUGGGCCGAUACUGACGCUGAGGAGCGAAAGCGUGGGGAGCGAACAGG